UUUGACCUCGGAUCAGGUAGGGAUACCCGCUGAACUUAAGCAUAUCAAUAAGCGGAGGAAAAGAAACCAACAGGGAUUGCCCUAGUAACGGCGAGUGAAGCGGCAACAGCUCAAAUUUGAAAUCUGGCUCUUUUAGAGUCCGAGUUGUAAUUUGCAGAGGGCGCUUUGGCGUUGGCAGCGGUCCAAGUUCUUUGGAACAGGACGUCACAGAGGGUGAGAAUCCCGUACGUGGUCGCUAGCCUUCGCCGUGUAAAGCCCCUUCGACGAGUCGAGUUGUUUGGGAAUGCAGCUCUAAAUGGGAGGUAAAUUUCUUCUAAAGCUAAAUACUGGCCAGAGACCGAUAGCGCACAAGUAGAGUGAUCGAAAGAUGAAAAGCACUUUGGAAAGAGAGUCAAAUAGCACGUGAAAUUGUUGAAAGGGAAGCGCUUGCAGCCAGACUUGCCUGUAGUUGCUUAUCCGGACUUUUGUCCGGUGCACUCUUCUGCGGGCAGGCCAGCAUCAGUUUGGGCGGUUGGAUAAAGGUCUCUGUCAUGUACCUCCUUUCGGGGAGGCCUUAUAGGGGAGACGACAUGCAACCAGCCUGGACUGAGGUCCGCGCAUUUGCUAGGAUGCUGGCGUAAUGGCUGUAAGCGGCCCGUCUUGAAACACGGACCAAGGAGUCUAACAUCUAUGCGAGUGUUUGGGUGUCAAGCCCAGACGCGUAAUGAAAGUGAACGGAGGUGGGAACCUUUUAGGUGCACCAUCGACCGAUCCUGAUGUCUUCGGAAGGAUUUGAGUAAGAGCAUGGCUGUUGGGACCCGAAAGAUGGUGAACUAUGCUUGAAUAGGGUGAAGCCAGAGGAAACUCUGGUGGAGGCUCGCAGCGGUUCUGACGUGCAAAUCGAUCGUCAAAUUUGGGCAUAGGGGCGAAAGACUAAUCGAACUAUCUAGUAGCUGG
rnacentral:rRNA from 1 species